GAGGUCCGCCUUUCCCUGCGGCCUUCCCUCCCCUCUCAGUUUGGAGCCCCUCCAAGGGCUCCAGAAGAAUAUUCAGCUUUUGUGACCGCUUCCUCACCACUCUUAUUUAUGUAGUCAAGGUACCGGAUGUUUUAUCUAUAUUUACAUAGAUAUUUUAUGUGGCCCCCGCUAGUUUGCAGGAAAGUGGGUGGAAAAGGGAUUCCCCGGAAGCUGGUGGAGCAGGACACGGAGUUCCUGGAACCAGAACCCCCGGCGCCUGCGUAAAUGCUGGCUGUGCUGCUGACUGGCCGGGCGUGUAGCUGGGCACCUGGACAGAGCCCAGGGAACGGUAGUUGGUGGAAAAGGUGGAGCGAGUGGUGAAGCUCAUGCUGUCCGGGGAAGAGAACGAGGGGACAGGACUCAGGCUUUGCCGACGACCGACAUUCCCUUUUUCUAAGUCCAGAUACAGAGCUCCAAGAACCCACUAGCAUGUAAUCAAAUGGAGCACACAGGGAGCAAGUUAUUUGCGGCUGGAUACUAAAGCAUCAGGGUGAAGGAAAGGCUGCUUGCUGCUAUCAUUGCUAUUUAACAUUGCUCUCUAAAUAGAGGCUAAAUAAAUUAUAAGCAGCACUGCCAGAUCCUGUUUGUAUGGGCUCUAGACUGCUGACUGGGUCCCAACUCUGCAUUCAGUGACGUCAUGUUGCAGCUUCACAUUGGUCGUGUUAGAGGUAAUUAUACUGGCAAACAGGCAAAUGUUACAGUUAAAACCUUUUUUCUUUUUCUUGCUUCUCUUUUCUCUUAAUUUUUGAGAAUCAGUUGUUAGACAUUUACUAGCAUGACACUGAUUUAUAAGCUAGUAAUAAAGCUAACUAUUGAAAAGGGGAGAUCAAAU
rnacentral:lncRNA from 1 species